ensembl:lncRNA
CUGCCUAUGAGCCACAAGCACGGGUUACUCCGGCUUCGCUGUAAGGACAGGGACAAUGCUGAUGGACUGCUGUGGAUAAAUGAUGUUCGUUCUGCACCUUGAGGGUGGGAUGCUGCCUUGCACAGGGGUCAUGUCUUCCUCCACAUCCAGCACCGAUGGGGCUGUAUGGAACACCACACCAAUGGACUGCUGUGCCAACAACAUGUUGGGUUGGAGGUAUGCAAUUGCCAUCUGGGUACAGUCCCUGUGGCCAAACCCAAUGGUGAUGUAGGACACAAGGGUGGCUGCCCAUCGCCGCUCCCUCCGGAAAGGAGCCAGACAGGAGAGAAAUCACUGCUGUCCAUGCCCCAAAAUCAAGAUGUGAAGUGGACAAGGCUCUGUUCUGCUGUUCCCUCUGCUGAGAUGUCAGAAGGACUCCCCAGGCAUCCAUCCACACUGAACACCUCCAUGAGACCUCUCUGCCCCAGGAAGCAGGAAGAUGCCUUUAUAUGUCCCCUUUUAGCAGCUGCUGCAAACUUCUUUUAUGCUAAAGCACGUGGAGCCGCGUUGAUUUAUUUAGCAGCGUCUCUGGAGGCUUCUUCAAGGUUAAGAUGUAGACAUCGCAUGUUAGGCUGGGCUGAAUGCUGGCAGGAAAAGACAUUUGGCUCUUCUAAUUGGAAAAACACGCCGCUUUUAUCACCCCGAGGCCAAGCCUCUACCACAGCCACACAGCACAGGGGAACACAGCGGCUCAGCCCUGGGUCCCCAGAAAGGAGCACCGUCCCCUCACUGCCCUCCAGGUCAGCCCCGGUGGUGCACCCAUCCCUGCUGAGUGCUCAGCACCGGUCACGGAGCUGUCAGCCACGCUGUGCCUCAGUUUCCCCACUGCUGCUGGCUGCCAUGGGCUGCGUGCUGAGUUUCGGCGCAGUGUGUCUAAGAAGCCCCUUCCCCAUCCAUCUCGGUGUUCCCACUGCACAACACGGAGCACACCCACUGAUGAAGGCACACAGCAUCCUCAUCUGGCCGGGCUGCCUCAGCCACGUCGGUACUCAGAGCUACAGAUACAGAGGUAAGGCUGCAUUUUUGGUGAUCCUUUGUCCCCUGUUUUGCAGGAGCCAGCUGGGUCUCCCACCACAGACAGGGAAUUGCUGUGGGCUCCCUGUGCCCCAGAGCAGCAUUGAGGCAUUGAGCCAUUGCCCCUCCUGACCCCAGACCCUGCACACAGCAGGGCCUGAAAUGGCCCUUUCCCAGACAUCUCCGUAAGCAAUGCCUUCAGUCUCUGCUUAAUGACUCCCAGCCAUCCUUCCUCCUUGCAGAAGCCAGCAGCACAGCAGGCAGGGCAGAUCCCCAGCUCCUGCUCCCCCCAUUCCAAACAGCAACUUUGGGGUCUCAUAGCAAACCCCAUCCCACCAGCAGCAAACCCCCUAUUUCCAGGCCUGGCCCUGGUUUGUUCUCAUUUCCUUUCCUUACUGAGCCUCCCCCCAGGAAUGGGACGAUGUCUUUUACAGCUCUCCCUGCUUCCAGUGUAUCAGAAGCAUGCCAAGACAUUGCCCUCUCCCAGGGGUGAGGAGCAAAGUGCCCAAUGUGGAGACGAGAACUGAUCUGGUGCUGCUGCAGCUGAGGGGCACAGUGCAGGGCCACAGCCACGUGGGGACUGGGAUUGAACCCGGUGCAAGAAGCCCAGGAGGAAAUCCCAUCCCAAUGCUAUGGGGCAGAAACCCAAUGCUGCCCCCAAAAUCUUUCCCCACAGCCUCCAUCCUGCUGCCUUCCCCCCCAGUCCUCCUUCUCUCACCUUGCCUUCCUCCAUUGCAUCCAUCCUCCUCUCUGGUGCCUCUUGCUCCAUCUCUGGGCACUGCUUUCCCCUCCCCUCCUCCCUUCCCAACCCCUGAGCUCCAGCUAGUUUAGAUCUGCCCUGGGGUGAUGUAGGGGGGAACAGGGGCAGCACUGACCCCUCUCCAUACUCCCAGUUUGGCUCAGUCUGAGCCCUAUGGUUGGGAUGUCCCUCCCACACCCAGGGCUGCUGGCAGCAUCUGGCCCCACUCCAGAGAGGAGGAGGAGGUGGAAGAGGAGAUUCCCCCAUGGGCAGCACUGUGGUGCAAAAGGCUGAAAGGAGCUCUGGCCAGGAGCAGGGCCUUGUGUGGAGGUGGUGGGUGUGAGGAUGGCUGAGGAUGCUUUUGCCUAAAGAGCAGUGGGAUGUGAAGGCAAACAGUGGGAACAUUGCUCCUGGAGCGUGGUGGUGCUGCCCAGGCACUGCCCUGCUCUGCCUGUGAGCGUUGGGACCCAGCCCAUGCUGUGGUGAGCACAGCAUUUGAAUGCAGCCAACUGACCCCCAGGGCCUCAGGCAGUGCUGCAGAGCAGUGCUGGGGCUCACCAUGCAUCCUUGCUCAGUGCCAGGGUGUGCACAGUGCUGGGCAUGGCUCACACUGUCCGUUCUCUGCUCACCCUGCAGGACAGAUAUUGCCUAUAGCAAAAAAUUACCCUCCAUAGCAAAAAUACAACAAUCUCUACGGGCAGGACUCGUUCUGUGCCCUCCGUCCCAGCAUGACGAUACCCACAGUGCUCCUACAGCACCACAGGGCAGUUCCCUGCUCUGGUGCAGGGCUUUGGGAUGAGGGUCCCCUCUCCUCCUCCUGCUCAGUGAGCGAUGCCUUCACAUGGCUGUCCCAAAGCUCCAGGCCCACUCAGCCCCGUGCUGCAACGCACAGAGCCGGAACAAAGCCGUGCUGCCUCAAAUUCCUCCAGCGCCGGGCUCGGGGCUCUGUGCUGCUUUCAGUUCCUAAAGCCAGCUUCGCGCUGUGCCCUGUCGGCCCACUCCCACGCUCCAGCACGGGGUAUCUUGACAGAUUGUUUGGUGGUUUGUUUGUUUGUUUUCUAUUUUAUAAUAAAAGGAAAAAAAGCGAUUGCAAAGCAGAAAGGACCGUUUUGGGGGUACAUUUGGCAGUGAAAUCAGAGCUCGGGCUGGGAACCAGCAGGACAGCCUCCCUGCAGCCUCCCUGCGAUGCUCUCCAUGCACCGAACCCCGCACCACUCCUUCCUACACCAUCCCCCCGCUCACACCAAUGACUUUUAUUUUCGUACACGAAAAAGAAAACGCACAACGGAUUGGGAGCGUUAUUUUUCUGAACGCCACUUCGAAGAGUAAAAAUCUGAAAGCGUAAAUCCGGAGCAUCGUGGCAAAAUCCGGGCUCGGUUUAAAAACUAAAAGGGUUCUGCGAUUGUUUCUUUUCGUUUGUGAAAUAAUUCAACCCUCACCAAUAUUCCGGGCAGACGACCGCCGUUUAAUCUCAGCGGUCGCACAACGAACUGAGAUUCCGAGGGGGUGAGAGCGUUCGGCGCAACGUAACUAUCAAAUAUCCCCCGAAGACUUAAAGCAAACCACACGUGGCUGCUUCUCUCGCUGCCCCACUGCCCGCAGCCAUCGGUGCAGGACGGAGGACCGCAGCGCUUCGCAGUGCCAUUAAGCAUUCGUUAAAACAUUUACUCGAUGGGCCGUAACAAAGCGCCGGAGCCGCGGGCGCACGCAGAGACUCCAUCGGACGGUUCUGCGGUGCAAAACCGUCGCGUUCAGAGCCGCGCAGCCCUCAGUCCCCUCUCAUCGCACCUCUCUCGGGCAGAUGCUGGAGGUGGAAGGGCUGCAGCUUACCCCGCUUUCUGCCGUCGGUUCUGGGCGUUCCGAUUUCGGGUUCCCCUCUCGGCCCGGAGCGCAGUGCCCGGCCCGUGGCAUCAGAGCCUGAGGGAUGGAGGGGGAAAGCAACGUGAGCCAGAAGCUCGCAGCGAGGUCUGUAAGUCCUUGUAUGGCAGAAAUAAACGUAUUACACCGUUAUUAGAGAUUUGGCGCUGGCCCUGUCGAGAAGCCCGGCUUUGGUGCUCUGCGAUUCCUCCCGAGAACAGAACUCAGCGGUUGCUCUCCGUACUCGCCGCGUUUUCUCUGGCCAAAUCCUGCCACCUUUUCUCAGCCCUCAGCCAUUCAAACCCGCAGCGGCGGUGCGAACCGCUGCGCUCCCGCUGCAGCCGACAGCUCCGUGC